rnacentral:rRNA from 1 species
GACGAACGCUGGCGGCGUGCCUAAUACAUGCAAGUUGAGCGCUGAAGGUUGGUACUUGUCCCAACUGGAUGAGCAGCGAACGGGUGAGUAACGCGCGGGGAAUCUGCCUUUGAGCGGGGGACAACAUUUGGAAACGAAUGCUAAUACCGCAUAAAAACUUUAAACACAAGUUUUAAGUUUGAAAGAUGCAAUUGCAUCACUCAAAGAUGAUCCCGCGUUGUAUUAGCUAGUUGGUGAGGGAAAGGCUCACCAAGGCGAUGAUACAUAGCCGACCUGAGAGGGUGAUCGGCCACAUUGGAACUGAGACACGUCCCAAACUCCUACGGGAGGCAGCAGUAGGGAAUCUUCGGCAAUGGACGAAAGUCUGACCGAGCAACGCCGCGUGAGUGAAGAAGGUUUUCGGAUCGUAAAACUCUGUUGGUAGAGAAGAACGUUGGUGGGAGUGGAAAGCUCAUCAAGUGACGGUAACUACCCAGAAAGGGACGGCUAACUACGUG